CCUCCCGGCGCGGAGAGGGCUCGUCGCCUUCGAUCAAGCUCCCGUCAGCCAUGGGCGAGCGGCCACGACUCCCGCCGCCCGGGCGAGGAAGCAGAACUAGAGACACACCCAGACCCAAAUUCAAGGAAGAAGAUAGGAUGUUCAGAGGAAAAAUCUGCAAUAAGAAGCAUGUUUUCCAGAGAUGCAUGACCUGAAGACAUGAAGAAAUGAAGAAUUCAUUACUUGGACAGUUUGUUCCACUGGUUAAUCAGCUUCACUGUGAACUAAUGGGUACCCAUUUCAAGUUUUAAUUGAUCUGGGUUUAAUUUCCAGCCCCUGGUUCACAUUAAGCUUGUUUGCCUUGACAAAGGGCCUUUAUUUGUUUGUGUUUUCUCUCUAAUGCACUCACCCACUGGAGUCUGGUCACCUCCAUGUGCUCUAAACAAGAGGAGGUCAUCAACUCUUACUAGAGGGUUAAGACCAGGAUAUCUUGGUUUUAGCUUUUCUGCACAUUUUCCUUUUUUUCACAUUAAAAAUACAGACA